GAUGAACGCUGGCGGCGUGCCUAAUACAUGCAAGUCGAGCGAACGGACGAGAAGCUUGCUUCUCUGAUGUUAGCGGCGGACGGGUGAGUAACACGUGGAUAACCUACCUAUAAGACUGGGAUAAAUUCGGGAAACCGGAGCUAAUACCGGAUGAUAUUUUGAACCGCAUGGUUCAAAAGUGAAAGACGGUCUUGCUGUCACUUAUAGAUGGAUCCGCGCUGCAUUAGCUAGUUGGUAAGGUAACGGCUUACCAAGGCAACGAUGCAUAGCCGACCUGAGAGGGUGAUCGGCCACACUGGAACUGAGACACGGUCCAGACUCCUACGGGAGGCAGCAGUAGGGAAUCUUCCGCAAUGGGCGAAAGCCUGACGGAGCAACGCCGCGUGAGUGAUGAAGGUCUUCGGAUCGUAAAACUCUGUUAUUAGGGAAGAACAUAAGUGUAAGUAACUGUGCACAUCUUGACGGUACCUAAUCAGAAAGCCACGGCUAACUACGUG
rnacentral:rRNA from 1 species